UCACGAGAACGAUGCAAAAUACAUUACCUGCGUGGCCUAGCGGUUGCUGUCCGCCGUCCUCCCCGAAAAAUACUUUAAAAGGCACUUCAGUCCUGUGAGGCCACAAGUUGUCUCUGUUGAUGCUGCGCUCACCACUUCAUACACUGGCUGCUCCAGUUUCUCCCGGCGACUCCACUCCAAUACUGUCCCCUUGCUGCAAAAGAUGGAGGGGUUCCACAUAGCAGCACGGGCGACCAUCACUGAGCAUGCCCCGGUGGCCUCCCGGAACUUUGUGAUGUCUGAAUGGGUCUUCACCAAAUCAAGAGAGCCACCACUACAAGGCCAAAGAUAGAAGACUGUCUGAGACGCACCGUUCAACUAAGCAAAACAGACAGAGGCAGCGACAAUUUCAGUGCUGGACUCACUUAGCGAUAACGGGUAUUGACACCACCUUAGUCACUGCCUGGAUGUAGUCGCAGUGAACAGGAUGCUGAGGUCUCUCCUCUUUGAAUCUGGUCGAUGAUGAACAGUGAUAAACGUGUUUAAUGACAUAACGUGUUUAAUGACAUCAACAGAAGCUAAUAAGCAUCUUUCCAAAAAAACAUUCACAAAGCCACCUUAACAGUUUUACAGUUUACUAAUCUGCAGUUUCAAACAAAUUAAUCCAAACAUUUAACUGCAUAAGUAUACAUAUGCAUCUUUUUAUAGAAUUGUUGCAUUUUUUCUGCAAAAACACUUUCUUUUCAGACCUGAAUAAUUACUUCUUUUUUUUUUUUUAAAUCCCGUCUGGUAAACACAUCACCUCUCUACCCAAAUUGCUUAUUACUUUGGCCUUGUUUAAUAGAAAAAAACAUGCACAUUCUACUAAAUAUAUUCAGUAAUAAAAGUCAGUAAUAAUUGUGAAUAUAAAAAGCACAGGUAAGCAGAUGCAGACACAGUGGGAUUAACACAUUACCUGCCAUGCACAGCUAAGGCAGACACUCCAGUUUUUUCUAUUCUUUUCACCAAUUUUACAGUGUCUUCCAGCUGAAAGAUAUUUCAGAAAUCAUCAUAUUCUAUAUGAAAACCAAACCUUCUUAUCAAACCAACUGAAAAUGAAAUUGUAUGGAUCAUUACCAAGAUACUCACAGAUGGAAGAACUCUGAUUUUGCAUGUCACAGGCUUCGAUAGGCCAUUUACAAGUGUGGUCAAAAUCUUCAAAUAAAAGAAAUGUCAUCAACA